rnacentral:misc_RNA from 1 species
CCAACAAUAAUAUCAAUUGACAAGUAAUUCAACCAAGCAAAAUUUUAAUCCAACUGGCUCUGCCUAAUCAUAGCUGAAUUGUAUUAGUAAAGCUUAUGAAUGUUAGCCCAAAAGCAUGAUUGUAGCUUUGACUGGCAAGUCACAGUUGAUGAUUUACUUCACUUGAGUGUUAGCUUUGAAGUUCUAUCAUCCUAGGUCCACCUCCUAAGCACUGCAAGGAAAACCUUGAAGGUCGACUUUGGCCUUGUGAUCCUUUUCUUGAUAGCCACCCUCUCAAGAAGUGAGCUAAUUUGAACUCUGAUGUAGGAAUAUCAUCAUGAUCUUCGCAGUGAUACUUGGAGUCGUAAUCUUGGUUUUCAUUAUUGUCGCUAUGGUUUGCAAAGGUCCUCUGUUCUUUCUCUUCAUCCCGUGAUAGCGGCCUUACAGUUGAGUAUGGUUUAUGAGUAGCUUUUUGGUUCCUAGAUUGUCUCUUUGAAUUUGAAUAGUUGAUGGACAGAUGCCUAACAAAUUGAAUCUGAUCAUCAUCCUUGAUCCCAAAGGUUUGAAUGCAAGCCUUGUCAUUAAUUAGCUUCUGACCCUCAUAGCUCAAGCAAAAGUGACCCCAGACAUGCGCCCAUGAAAUCUUGCCCUGACCUUCCUUUGGUGAGGAAGCAAAAACUUCCUCCACCGCUAGUUUAAGUUCAGCCACAGAGGCAUUUCUUCCAACGUGAACAUCGAAGGAAGUGCCGUCGAGCUUGAGGAUAGAGAGCUUGAAGAGUUGCUGCGGCAGCUUAUGAUAGGAGUACCUUCGUCCGAAAAACCUGUCAUUGCCAUAAACGUCGCCGUCUCCGAUCAAUCUCAGUGGAGCCAAGCUCACACUGCUUAUGGGAGCCCUUAAAUUACCAUUUUUAUUGUUAGAAAUACAAGCAUUACCAUGAUUUCUGUGUUCUCUACCAAAAAUGCUUCGCAUAAUAAAAGACCAGUUAGUUCAAUCGGUACUCUUCUAGGGUUAGCUUUGAUUGGAAAACACUCCGAUUUUUUCAGAGAGAAGAAAUUUAAAGAGAGGGAGAAGUAGAGUUAGAGAGAGUGAUAUUUGGGAGAGGGAAGACGAAAAAAAAUG